rnacentral:rRNA from 1 species
UACGUAGGGGGCGAGCGUUGUCCGGAAUUAUUGGGCGUAAAGAGCGUGUAGGCGGCUUUACAGGUCCGUUGUGAAAACUCGAGGCUCAACCUCGAGACGCCGGUGGAAACCGUAAGGCUAGAGUCCGGAAGAGGAGAGUGGAAUUCCUGGUGUAGCGGUGAAAUGCGCAGAUAUCAGGAGGAACACCCGUGGCGAAAGCGGCUCUCUGGGACGGUACUGACGCUGAGACGCGAAAGCGUGGGGAGCAAACAGG